UGUCUGGGUGGUCACCUGUAAAUAGCCUCUUUUGUCUUUAUGUCUUAGCAGUGGUUGGUCUUAGGAAGUCAUGUGGCCACCCUAACUGGUAGGGUCUGACUGGGUAAUUUUCCAUGGAAGGGCGGAAUUAGAGACAAAGAAUUCCCACCUGAAAGAGAAGGCUAUUUAAGGUCCUUUGUCUUUGGCUUGCAUGUCAUUCCCAAGAGAGUGUAUCAGAGACCCCAGGGCAAAAGAUCUUCCCUGGCUUGGAGAGUUAGCUGAAAUAAGGACAGUUUUAGGUAGGAACAAACCAUAAGAGGAAAAGGAUUUAUAAACAAGAACUUAUAAGCACGUCUCUUACCUAAGGCCUGCCAUCCCCUGACGAUAAUCUAAGGCAGGACCAUCUUCUUUAGACACCCCCCCGAAAGUCCCAUGCAGGCAGAAGGAACUCAUGACCUUCAGAAGUUGAGAUGUCUGCUGAAUACAGAAAAUCUACAACAUACACCCUCCAGGUUUUUGUUUAAGGAUUAAAAAAAUGUGUAACAGAAGUAGAAUGCACAGUGGCAUUCAGAUGCCAUUAAAAUUGAUU